rnacentral:lncRNA from 10 species
AUUUCCCAGAUACUUCCCACGCUGGUGUCUAUUCAGCUUCACUCUUCUGUGUUCCCAAGGAUUCCCCUAGAAUGCAAGAUUUUGAGCUUCUUGCAAGCAGAAAAAAUAUCAGAAUCAUCUGCCUCACAAGUGUCUGGCACAGUGCUUGUCACAUAAAGAUGGCCCACAAAACUUCAAUGACAGAAGAGGGAAAGGAAAGAAGUCUGACAGAUAUCUAACUAUAUCCAAGAAAGACAUGAAAAUUCAUUGAUUUAUAAAUUUGCAUAUAAAAUGUAAAGAAAGAAAAGUAAUAUCCUAUAUCAGAGAUGGCUCUUUGUUUUAGACCUCAUAGAAUUUCAGGCUGCCUUAAAGAUUAUCCUUCCUUAAAGAGAAGAAAGAAAGGAACAGAAAGUUAACGUUAUUCUUUUCGAAUCUACACAAUUAAAGGGUGAAAAAAAUAAGCCUAAAAUGUACAUCCCCAAAUCCAAUGCACUUUCUAUUAUCCUAUAUAUUUACUUUCUCAAAAAUUAAUUUCUCAAUUAUUUAAUUACAAAAAAGAAAGGUUGAAUGCUUAUUUGUUAGGAUUGUUGCAGGUGUUCAAGGAACAAAACAAUUGUAGUACCUGUUCGCAUGGUAUAGACAGACAAUAAACCAACAUAAAUAAUAAAAUGUCAAGUAACUACUAAGAAGAAAAAUAAAGCAAUAUAAAAAUAUAGCUAAUGACUGAGAAGGAGUGCAAUUUUCAGAAGUGCUAGUAAUAAAAGAUUUAUCUGAGGAGAUGAGAUUUGAAUAGAAAACUAAAUUAUGUUUUGAGUUAUUUAAGGAGCACACCGUGAAAGAUGUAACAAGGGGAAGUAAGAAUGAAGGCCCUGAGAUGUGAAUGAUCUUGGUGUGAUCACAGAGUCAUGAAGAAUAGAAAUGAGAACAUAAUGCAAGUGAUUCUGGAACGUGUCAGAUCAUGGAAAGUGUUGGAGACCACUGUAGAGAUUUAGAUACUACACGAAUAUUACAGGUGUUGGAGUAGGAAUUAACUCUGUUAAGAUCAACCUAGGUGUUAGCGGAUUGGAUUGUAAGGGGGCAAGAGAAGGAGUACAGAGACCUGCUAGGAGGCUAUUGCAAGAGUCCAUCUUAGAGAUCAAUUAAUGGGUCAGGAUGGAGAGCUGAGUGCUGGAAAGCAGCCAGAUGUGUGAUGCAUUUUGAAGGUGGAGAUGAGUGACUCUUCUUAGCCUACUUGAAUGGAGGCUGUAGGAAAGGAGAGGAUAAAGAAGAAUUGUUAGGGAUUUACCAGAGAAGCCAAAUGAAGUGGGUGCCAUAUGCUGAGAUGAGGAAGCCCAAAGGAAUAACAGGUUAGGAAUGGAAGGAAAUCAGGAAUUCCACUGGGACAUGUACAGGUUGAGAUGUUUUUUGGACUUUUAAUGUAUAGAUCAUCGUGCCUCUUAUUUCUAUUGCUGCUGAGAGCAGUUCAGUUCUGCGGGUGUUUUUAAAAAUUCACUCCAUGUUAUUGGCCAAUUGACCAGAUAGAUCAAAAACUCAGAAGAGACAAAGCUCAUUUUCCAGAAACACUCUCAACCAGCCAGGUAAACAAUACACAUUCAAAGCCAAGUACCAAAUCAAUGUUUAUGAAUUAGCUAAACCUCAGAUAAUGUCAAUGUAACGCCACAAUAAAAAACACAUCUUAAUAUUUGCCUCUGCUUUCCCUUAAACUGUAUUCAUAAGGAUAUUUCCCUACCCCUAAAUGAAGAUUCAGGCAAGUUCAAAACUUUUCUGGUUAAUCUUAGAUAGUACUUCAGACAAAUUUUAGUCAUACAAACAAUCUCUAUUUAGAAAAUAAAAUGUUCAGAUGCAUGCAAUGAUCACAAUUCUGAACUUAGCUUGAAAUUUCUUAGCUCAGAUCUUCUGUGGUUACUUUUUUGCUCAGCACCAAGGACCAACCAGAGGAAAGAGGAGGAGCUGUAAGGAAAUGUAG